AGAGCUUGGAGAUGACAAAUGAGGAAUUGAUUGAUCGAUGUAUAUUUCUUGGGGCGGGAAAAGCAGACGUUUGACAGCCUUUGUCAUAAAUCAGAUGCGUAAUCCGAGGCUUAUGAGAGCUUGUCAGAUGCGUAGGUGGAGGUAUGAGAGUUCAAACAGAAUUUUGAAUUUCCCGCUCCAGCACCUCUACAAAGAAACAACCCAGAUCGUUUCACUCACUGGUGGCCGCAACCCAACCCGUAGAAAUGGGGCAGCCCAUGGUAUGUGCUCCAGCUGCAACAGCGACUCCGGCUCCUUCUGCCGCGCCGGGGACAAAGAAAGUUCUCCACCCAAAAAUUCUAGAACACUUGAGGUACAAGAAGCUCUUGCAGCAAUACACUAAAAGAAGAUGUAUUCCACUGCCAAUAUACCAGACCAUCAAUGAAGGAUCUCAAGGCGCCCUACAGUUUAGAGCAACAAUAUUGGUAGAUGGAGUGAGUUAUACGUCUUUGUAUACUAUUUCUGAUCGAGAAGCAGCCGAAUGGAACGUUGCCAAACUAGCAUUGGAGGGCAUAUCUCAAAAGAUCAAGGAUGAAGGACGCCGUCUCAUUUGUGAGGUUUUCCUUUUUUCAACCACUCACAACAAAUAUGGAUUGCCUAAUCAUCUUGUUUGUGUAUAUCCUUUUCAAAAUUUUGGACGAGGUCACUGCUCAAUGCUUUCUUAAAAUAAGGUGCCAUGCAAGUCUACCCUUAAUGCUUUUGCUGUCAAGAUGAAUCUAGAAAUGCCUACUUACAACACCAUCAAGCAAAAGCGAAAAAGGUUGCUUCCUUUCAUAUCUUCUUUGGUUUUCAAUGGUGUAAGUUACAUUGGUGAAGCUGGUAGAAACGAGGGAGAAGCUGAAGUAUUGGCAGCACGCGCUGUUAUUCUCUAUCUUCUUGGUAGUUCAGAUCCGGGAACACUUCUUUUUUAGAUGAGCAAGCGUGAUGUCAAAUAUCAACAUGCUUUACUGCGUAAAGCCAAAUUUUAUGCUGCUCUGUAUACAGUGAAGUACACAUGCUAUUGCCAAAUGAGUGUUGUAUCACAAGGAAGGAGUAUAGGACAAAUUAGUGCUAUACCUCAAGGGGUAUAUGUAGGACAGCCUCCGAGUGAAGGUCCAAGUUCUACAAAAAAGCGCCACAAGAAUAAGAAAAAAUCUAAUAAGAAAUUGCGAUCUGACACUCAGUUGCCGGUUGCCGUGCCCAUGACUCAAGCCCCACCUACCUACAUACACAUUCCUGAUACUCCCCCCUACAUAAACAUCCCUGAUACUCCUCCUGAGCAACAAAGCUAGGUGGUUUGCUCCAUAUAAACUUUCUUAUGCAGAUCCCCAUGUAAAGGCGUUUUUGAUGUCCAACUAAAACAAAGGCCAAUCAAGGUUAGCAACAAUAGACAUCAACACUCGAACAGAGGAGAUCUUGGCAACCGGAGAAAAGGUCUCUUCAUAAUCUAUCCAUAGAGGUUUGCGUGUUCAGUAGCCCAAUUGACAAAGUGACUCUGUUUGUUUAGUGUGUGUAUAUUUAGUUAGUCCUUCAUCUUUGAUUCUGUUAGGCAUUAUGUGCUUUGUGUGUAAAAACUUUAUUUGGAUCUGACUGUUUUCUGCACAUUACUAUUGUGAAAGGCGUCACAUCAAGCUAAUAUUUCUAUUUUGUUCU